GCCGCGCCAGUUGCCUUAAAAGGGGCGGGGCGGAGCGCGCCCAUUCAUGCGGGCCGGCCGGGGGCGUGGCCUGGCCGAGCCGUUCCCGCUGGCGCGCCGCAGGCAGCACGGUGCCCCCCACCCGCGGUGUCACUCGUUUCCUCUGCUGGAGGGGAACCAGAGGGUCCACCAAGGACGUCUUGGGGACACUCCAUCCUCCCUGUGUUCCCCCCCGAGAAGGUCCCCACAUGACACACGGUGUCCUCCAGCCCGCGCCGCAGCGAUGGAUUGAACUUUAGUCUCUGAGCAAUUAAGGUGACCUGAAACUGCACUUCAUUAAUGGUUGUUAUGCAAUAAAAACGAUAAAACUGCCCUUAUUUGCAAUAUAAAAAAGCAAUUUGUUUUAAUUUAUGUUUUUAAAUACUUGCCAGGUUCUUCCCGGGCUCUGCCAGGCAUUGACCUUUGAGGUGGGAGGAGUGGAGCGGGUUGCUUUGUUGGGACAGGGUUAGGAUUAGGAUGUCCCUGUAUGUCCCCCCUCUGGGCUGCAGCCUUGAACGGGCU